rnacentral:lncRNA from 10 species
UUCAAUAGUCCUCAUCAUCAUUAGUGUAAAUUAGCAAGUAAGUUUCUCCGGUCUGUGAUUUCUUAUUGAUAGAAAAAAGUCGAGAUUGCAUUGCUUAAUAAAAACUAGGCAGGGUAGCACAACCAAUAGGAAGCUAGAAUACUAUAGAAUACCAUGCUUCAUUCAAAGAGUUCAAAACAAAGCAAUGUACUAGGAGUAAUCAGGUUGAUGGAAAAAUUGUUCCCUGUAAGAAGAUGCAGUAACUCUUUCAUGCCACUAGGGUAUUAAUAUUAGGGGGAAAGAAGCAACUGAUUAGAAUCCCAGAAGAGCUGUUAAAUCCCAGGAGAGAAUCAGAUGCAAAGAGGCUGGGGAGCAUUGGAGAGCAAAUAGAAUAUUUAAUGAAGAUUACUAUCUCUGUCACAACAUGAGUGCAGAAGCAUCUUCAGUUGGAGAGCCAUUGCCUCUUGCUGUGAAAUAUUUGGGAAUCUUCAGAAACCAUGAAGAAUAACCUGCUAAAGGCCACCAAGUUCUAUUGAACAUCAUGAAUCCUAUGCUCAAGUGAGAUCAGCUCAAGUGAGACCAGAUAUCUGAAGACCUUUUCAUUUUCGCCACCCUCAAAUGAAGGCAUGCAAGCUUAUGUUGACACAUCGUUCUAGGAAGAAAACAGAACAUUUCUGCUCAUCAGUGUUUUGCAGUAAGAACUUGUGACCCCUAAUUGUCAAUAUAUCCUGUGGGACGGUAGGUUUUAUGCCUUAACAGAGGCCACAUCAGUGUGCCCUCUGCCCAAAUAGCCCUCUUCCCAUCACUUGAUGGGAUGACAUUGGCUAGGGCAUGACCAAUGGAAGAAGGCCAUUUUACCUUCUUCCCAUGUUGCUCACACACUUAAAUGUUCAGGGCUUUUCUGUGCUCUCAAGGCCACACUCCUCAACCAAAUAAGAAAGAACUCACAUGAUGGGAUGACACUGAGUAGGGUACUGUCUAACUCAUUGCUCACCUCUUAGAAUGGAAGGACAACACAUUCAGUUGUUGCUAAUGCCUUAGAAUGAAUAUGUUUGUUAGGUGGCUCUUUUGGGGCUAGUUCAAAAAGGCCACUGACAAGAAUGGGAGGAGACUAGAUCGGUCAUGUUGGGGAAUAAAGGGUGAGAUGAAGGAUCCAUGAAAGAGCCAUACAUGUGGAUUACCUGGGAGAGCCCAUGAAGACCCUGGUACCUGGAGAGUGGAGUGGGCAAGAAAUAAAAGGGCAAUUCAGAAGGGAGAGUGGUAGCCUGAACAGAAACUUCCAAACUGUAAUAAUCAAGGAUUCGGAGAAAGCUUAAUAUGGGGAUCUCCAGAGACUGAAUUUGCAGAACAAGUGAAGCAGCACAGGGGCUGCCGUUGGUGAACAUUCUAACCUUGGUCACCCAGUUAAUGUGCUAUAGCUUCUGGGGAAUACACUUGUCGUAACUGCCACCAAAUAGUGAGGUUUUCCUUGAGUAAUGAGAAGAAAAAUGCAUUCACUACCUCAAUUCAGUACACAAAGCCCGCAAAGGAUAGUUUUACAGGGUUUUAAUAUCUUCCUGAGCUUUUUAAUGAGGGAAACCAAGCACGUCAUAUCUGCUUUGCUGAAACUUUAAGAUUAAUGUGGCUGAGUGCAGUGGCUCACGCUUGUAAUCCCAGCACUUUGGGAGGCCUAGUCAGGUGGAUCACCUGAGGUCAGGAGCUCGAGACCAGCCUGGCCAGCAUGGUGAAACCACAUCUCUACUAAAAAUACAAACAUUAGCCAGGUUUGGUAGUGGGUGCCUGUAAUCCCAGCUACUUGGGAGGCUGAGGCAGGAGAAUUGCUUGAACCCAGGAGGUGGAGGUUGCAUGAGCCAAAGUCGUGCCUCUGCACUCCAGCCUGGGCAACACAGCGAGACUCCAUUUCAAAACAACAACAACAAAAAAAAAAAAAGAUUAAUGUACAAGAAGUAAAAUAUGUGGUAAAAAAUAAGUUGUCCGUAUUCAAUACUUGUAAAAGCAAACUUUGCAAGUUGUGCUUCUAAUUCAUUCAUGACAAAAAAGCUCCACCAAGCUUCCAUUCAGCACUGGCAAACACUGCAUCAACACUCCCCCUCCCUUAUUCCAGACAGACAUUAACACGUUGUCCACAGUCUCUUACACAGCUGAAAUCUUUAUCAUCUUAUAUCUCAAUGCUGUGCUGCAGGAAGCCAUGAAAAAUUAAUCGGGACUGGUAUCCCAGGUGGAGCUUGUGUGAACCUGGUAACUUAAUCCCUGCCAUGUACUAGGAGAACCCAGGUUAUGUAAAAUCAUGCCAUUGCAUAAGUUUGUCUUUUCUGUCCUGGUCACUGGCCAUUUUGCCUUCUUCCCAUGUUGCUCACACACUUAAAUGUUAGGGCUUUUCUGUGCUCUCAAGGCCACAUUCCUCAACCAAAUAAGAAAGAACUCACAUGUUUCUGAUCAUUUAUUGACUAAUUAUAGAUAACUAUAGAUAGUUCUUAAAGGGGUCAGUUGGUGGUACUGUCAAUGUUUCCUUCCUCCCAAAUGUUUCUUUGAUUUUCCUAAGGAUGAAUUAGCUGCCCUGCUUCCAAGCAUAACAAGAAAUGUAAGUGCAUUUCUACUAAAAGUAAAUCUUUCUCUCACAGUGUCCAGCAUUGUGGGAUCUCUGUUAAUCGCUGUUUAUAUGUGAGCCUUUAAAGAAUGAACAUAAUGUCAGUUUUGCCUGGGGUAAAUUCUUUUAUUCCUUAUUCAGUUUUCUUACCCAGAAGAUUUCCCAUCUGAAUCACUUUUACCUGGUUUGUUUGACUGGCACGUGGAUCCACUUAUUGAGAUUCCAACUCAAGCUCAUUUGGAAAAAAAACUAGAGACUGCACAUUUUGAAACAGAAAUUCUCCAGGACCUGAUCCUGGCAUCUUCCAUGUCUCUCUAAGGUCUAGAAAGCACACCUGCUUUCACUGAUUCUGAUAGAGGCCUCUGCUGAUUUUCAAAAGGGUCAUAUGAGAAUUCUGAGAGUUCUGCACAACUUAAGAUGCCUCUUGGGAGAACUAGCAAGACUAGGAGACAGACCCUUUCCCCAUGCUGUGCUUAUAGGGUUACCUGACAACAAAGGUUUGCUCCCUACCCCUCAAAAUACCAUGCACUUUUCUGACUCAGCUUUGAGUCACACUACUGAAGGGUGGCAGGCUAUGCCACCCCCAAAUAUGCCACUUUGACAUAAGGAUCACUUCAAGCCAGAGGCACUUGAAAAAGAGCAGAUUCAAGAAGAUUACAUGUAUUCUAAUCUUCCCUUUCUUUUCCCUGAAGGUAGGAGAUAAAAACUAUCAUGUGGAAGAUGCCCUCCCUGUGCCAAGAGAAAAGAAACAUUCUUCCAUGAAGACUCAUAGCCGAGAUAAUUCCGUAUAAACAGACCUUGUUAAAAGAAUUAUCUCCCUUUGGCCUCCCCACAAAAUUUAGAUACUUUUCCACAAUUGCCUCUUUACAAAAUCAUGUAAGCCUUGCUUUUUUUUUUAUCUUCAUUUUCUCAUGAGGGCUCCUGUGUCAUGUAAAAUAUGUUAAAUUUAUACGCUUUUCUCUUGUUAAUUUAUCUUACGUCAAUUUAAUUCUCAAGCCCAGCAGAGACCCUAGAAGGGCAGAGGUAAAUUUUUGCCUGCACUACACUAUUGAUCCCAAAACACACACACAGAGAGAGAGAGAGAGAAAGAGAGAGAGAGAAACUCUCUUCCUAUUCUGUGCCAGUGAAAUUCUGCCAUCAGCAAAUAUAUCUUUUCUGACUUUGAAAAUACUGAUGACAGUGGAGAUUAAAAUCCUACCAAGGCUGCUGCAGAAUCAAUGACACAUGAGGUGGCCAGGCAUGGUGGCUCACGACUGUAAUCCCAGCACUUUGGGAGGCCAAGGUGGGUGGAUCCCCUGAAGCCAAGAGUUCAAGACCAGCCAGGCUAACAUGGUGAAACUCCAUCUCUACUAAAAAUACAAAAAAUUAGCCGGGUGUGGUGGCACAUGCCUGUAAUCCCAGCUACUCAGGAGGCAGAGAGAGGAGAAUUGCCUGAGCCCAGAAGGUGGAGGUUGCAGUGAGCCGAGAUCAUGCCACUGCACUCCAGCCUGGGUAACAGAGUGAGACUCCGUCUCAAAAAAAAAAACAAAAAACAAAAAACAAAAAAAAAACACAUGAAGCUUUACCAGAAGAUUUCAGUAUGUCCUCCAGUGCGUAAUUCAUUUGUUCAACAAUUUUUACUGGGCAGGCAUUCUAAUAGAUGUUGAGGAUAUCACAAUAAAUAAGGCAAACAAAAUCUCUACCCUAUGGUAGAGAUUUUGAAAUAUCAAAUUAUUAAGUUUUAGGAAAAUUCAAUGACAAAAAGAAAGUCUUAUAAUAUUACCAUGUCCAGAUAAUGUAAGUAUUUACACAUUACUAUUUCAAUUUCAUUCAAUUUUUUUCUAAACUUUUAUUUUUUCAAACAUGUAAUCAUAAUAUAUUAGUGCUAAGUAUUAAAACAAUUUCUUAAUUCCCAUGUAAAUUUAAGGGUAUUUAAGCUUUUUUUUUUUUUUUUUUGAGACGGAGUUACACUCUUGUUGCUCAGGCUGGAGCUCAAUGGCGCGAUCUCAGCUCACCGCAACCUCCGCCUCAUGAGGUUCAAGCAAUUCUCCUGCCUCAGCCACCCCAAGUAGCUAGAAUUACAGGCAUGCGCCACCACGCACGUGGAAUCAGUUGUAUUGUUUCAAUACAACUUUUGGAAAUAAAAGUAUGGCAAAUUCUCACUCUCUUCCUUAGGUAAGCACCAAACUUUAAAAACAAAAGGCACUCACUAUAAGUGUGCUGUAGUGUUAUAAUGGCUAUGAGGUCAUUAAGAGAUAGGAAUUUUUCAGCCCGUUAUAAUCUUAGGGGACUAUUGUAUACGCAGUCUAUCAUUGACUAAAAUAUUAUUAGGCAGUAUAUGACUGUACUUUUGUUUAAGAUCUUAUGACAAAUCCAAAUAAAAA